rnacentral:snRNA from 2 species
CAGCCAUGCAAUGAGCACAAAGCGAACUAUUCUUUCGCCUUUUACUAAAGAAUACCGUAAUUUGUUCAUGUUCUAACUGGGGCUGAUUUACCUGUCCAAAUGCUUGUUUCAGUUCCUGAUCUUAUACUAA